rnacentral:lncRNA from 1 species
AGAAUAUAGAUUAAAUUAAUAUAUUCAUUUAUAUUUUAUAAAUGAGUCUAUAUAUGCAAACUUUCGUGUCCAACGGAAAUUAACGUACUUUAUUCCAAUUAUUUUAAAAGAAUCCGUUGUUUUCUCUAAAGAAAACUUGAAAAUUACAAGGAAAAUCGGACGAUUCAGACUCCUGAAGACAAGUAUCUGAUGAAGAUGUCAUCACCUGACAAGAUUUUGUAGACGGAACAAAUGAUAAUGAGGCACAUGAUGUAGAAGGAGACUCUGUUGAAGUAGAUGACGAAGGCAAAUUGGAUUCUGUUUUCAGAAGUCCAUCGAUUACGUUACUUCUUUUCUUUUUCCUUUUGUGGCAAAACGAUUCCAAAUCGUUGUUUUAGAAUCUCUUCGUCGUUCGGGAUUUCCGGGGCUAGAACUUGAAGAUCUGUUGCAGACAAUUCUGUCAAAACAUCCUGAGGUUGUUCCAAUAUGAUGUUUGGACCACUAUCCUGAAAAGAAAUGGAAUUUAAGAUAAAAAUACCCAAAGUUUAAAAAAUUUUAAAUAGUAUUAUCGAUGAUUGUUCCAAGAAUAUUUUCAAAUAGUAAAAUGUCAGUAAGAUGACCGCGCAAUAAGGCUGUGGAAACUAAACAUCCGGAAUAAAAUUCAAUUUGGAUCCUUAGACUCGAAUUACUCACGUUACAAUUCGAACGAGUU